rnacentral:rRNA from 1 species
GGAUUAGGCAUGCAAGUCGAACCAGAACCACCUUUGUAGCAAUACCGAGCUGGGGAAAGUGGCGAAAUGGGCAGUAAUGCAUGGGUAACCAACCCCGGGGACCGGGAUAGCCAUUCUAACGAGUGGGUAAUACCGGGCGAUGUAGCCGAGACGCAUGUCUUGGCUAUGAGAUGAAUUUCGCCUCGGGACGGGCUCAUGUGGUAUUAGCUAGUUGGUGGGGUAACGGCCUACCAAGGCUCAGAUGCCUAGCUGGUGUGAGAGCACGACCAGCGCCACUGGCACUGAGACACUGGCCAGACACCUACGGGUGGCUGCAGUCGAGGAUUUUCGGCAAUGGGCGCAAGCCUGACCGAGCGACGCCGCGUGCGCGACGAAGGCCUUCGGGUUGUAAAGCGCUGUCGGGGGGGAGAAAGCCGCAAGGUUGGUCUAUCCCCGGAGGAAGCACGGGCUAAGUUCGUGCCAGCAGCCGCGGUAAGACGAACCGUGCGAACGUUGUUCGGAAUCACUGGGCUUAAAGGGCGCGUAGGCGGUUCAUCAAGUCAGGGGUGAAAUCUUUCGGCUCAACCGGAAAAGUGCCCCUGAUACUGAUGAUCUCGAGGGAGGUAGGGGUCCGCGGAACUUCUGGUGGAGCGGUGAAAUGCGUUGAUAUCAGAAGGAACGCCGGUGGCGAAAGCGGCGGACUGGAUCUCUUCUGACGCUGAGGCGCGAAAGCCAGGGGAGCAAACGGGAUUAGAUACCCCGGUAGUCCCUGGCCCUCAACGUUGGGCACUAGGUUGCGGACUUGACAUGGGUUCGCAACCGAAUCAAAAAGUGUUAAGUACCCCCGCCCUGGGGAGUAUGGUCGCAAGGGCUGAAACUCCAAAGAAAUUGACCGGGG